rnacentral:rRNA from 1 species
GACGAACGCUGGCGGCGUGCUUAACACAUGCAAGUCGAACGGAAAGGCCCUGCUUUUGUGGGGUGCUCGAGUGGCGAACGGGUGAGUAACACGUGAGUAACCUGCCCUUGACUUUGGGAUAACUUCAGGAAACUGGGGCUAAUACCGGAUAGGAGCUCCUGCUGCAUGGUGGGGGUUGGAAAGUUUCGGCGGUUGGGGAUGGACUCGCGGCUUAUCAGCUUGUUUGUGGGGUAGUGGCUUACCAAGGGUUUGACGGGUAGCCGGCCUGUGAGGGUGAACGGAGAAAAUGGGACGAAGAUAGGGACCAGAAGGGAACGGGAGGCAGAAGUGGGGAAUAUUGAAAAAGGGGAGGAAGCCUGAGGAAGAAAAGCCGCGUGCGGGAUGAAGGCCUUCGGGUUGUAAAAAGAUUUAGAAUGUGACGAAGCGUGAGUGACGGUAAUGGGUAAAGAAGCACCGGCUAACUACGUG